rnacentral:lncRNA from 1 species
AUGAGACGUGAGUGGGGGCAGCAGGAGGGUGAGCAGCACCCACUGGGGCCGGGCUUUCCCCCCCCGCCCACUGACCGUGCCCCAUCCCUCUUGUCUGGGGGAACAGCAGUUUCAGACUGGCCUUUGUGGAUCAGUUUUUCUGAGGAAAAUCAGGGAGGAACAUAUGGCUGUUGUUCACUGGCGUGGCUUAAGUCAACUGGAGGUACAAAAACAGACCUGGGGCAUCCAAAGUCUGUCAAGGAAGGAUCAGAACACCUGCAUAAACAUCAGGUAAUUGAGCAAAACAGAACUCCAGCCAUAAACACAUCCAGCGCCUCAGAGGAGUCGCUUUGUCCCAGUUCAGCCAGCCCGCCUGUGCGUCUCUGGAGACCCUUGUUCUUGGUUAGAGUCCUUCCCGCUGUGGCUUAGAAGGGCUCCUCAAGGGGGAAUGGCUAUUCCAUCAGCCAUCCUCUCUCUUGCUCUCAUGAAUUAUCUGAAAGAACAGACGUCUUAAGUGAUGUGGAGUUCUGGGUGCUGGGUUUCUACUACUUCCCUGUCCUAAGAACCACAGCUCCCAGGGAAAAACGGGAAGUCUGAAGUCAAAGGACAAGAAGAGGUUGCCUCCCUUGGGAUGCUAAGGAGCCUGCACAUUUGACUGCUAAGUUUCCAAAUGGAAGCGGAGCAGAAAAUGCUCCAGGGCCAUCUCAGGACACAACUGCAGGUAUCAGAGAGGAGGGAGACUGGGGAGGAGGGGAACUGUGGUCCAGACAAGAACCUAAGUGCAGCCUUUUCACUGAGCCUUGGCUCACUUCUCUAUUUUCUAAGCACAACCUCCCCACCAUUCUAUGCCAGCUGCCCUUCCUGUCCCUUGCAAUGUCUUGGGCAGGUUCAGUCACUUUAGGCUGUGGAAACUCAAGCCAGUUGUUUCAAAUUCCACUUGCAUAUCUGAGGCAGAGCUUCCUCAGCUCCUCUCCCGGCACAAGUGGGGGCCCUGACCCUGGCAGCUGGGAGGACAGGGGAGAUGGGGCGUGGGUGUGGUAUGGCGCCUCUCACUCCCUCUCUUCUCAAGGCCUAACUUCCUAGCUUCCCUGGUGUGGAGAGCAUGAAAUGGAAAUCCCUGGGUUGGGAAUCAAGGGGGAACCAGGUGGCACAGUGGUAAAGAAUCUGCCUGCCAAUGCAGGAGACGCGGGUGCAACCCCUGGAUUGGGAAGAUCCCCUGGAGACGGAAAUGGCAACCCGCUCCAGUAUUCUUGCCUGGGAAAGUUCCAUGGACAGAGGAGGCUAGUAGGCUACAGUCCAUGGGGCCUCAAGGAGUCGGCCACAGCUUAGUGACCAAACAACAGCAACAUGGAGCAUGUGAUUCCCUUUUGGAAUAAAUAUUGGUGUGGUCAUUGUUGUUGCCCA